AACGCGAAGAACCUUACCUGGGCUCGAAGCGCAGUGGAAUCCGGUGGAAACAUCGGCGCCCCUUAAAAGGCUGCUGCGGAGGUGCUGCAUGGCUGUCGUCAGCUCGUGUCGUGAGAUGUUGGGUUAAGUCCCGCAACGAGCGCAACCCUUAUCGUUAGUUGCCAGCGGGUUAUGCCGGGCACUCUAGCGAAACCGCCCCGGAUAACGGGGAGGAAGGUGGGGAUGACGUCAAGUCUGCAUGCCCCUUACGCGUAGGGCUGCUAACAUGCUACAAUGGCCGGUACAAAGGGCUGCUAAUCCGCGAGGAGGAGCGAAUCCCAAAAAGCCGGUCUCAGUUCGGAUUGGAGUCUGCAACUCGACUCCAUGAAGUCGGAGUCGCUAGUAAUCCCGGAUCAGCUACGCCGGGGUGAAUACGUUCCCGGGCCUUGUACACACCGGAGUGC
rnacentral:rRNA from 1 species